CCUACGGGAGGCAGCAGUGAGGAAUAUUGGUCAAUGGGCGCGAGCCUGAACCAGCCAAGUCGCGUGAGGGAAGACGGUCCUAUGGAUUGUAAACCUCUUUUGUCGGGGAGCAAAAGACGCCACGCGUGGCGUUCCGAGAGUACCCGAAGAAAAAGCAUCGGCUAACUCCGUGCCAGCAGCCGCGGUAAUACAGAGGAUGCGAGCGUUAUCCGGAGUUAUUGGGUUUAAAGGGUGCGCAGGCGGAAGAUCAAGUCAGCGGUAAAAUUGAGGGGCUCAACCUCUUCGAGCCGUUGAAACUGGUUGUCUUGAGUGAGCGAGAAGUAUGCGGAAUGCGUGGUGUAGCGGUGAAAUGCAUAGAUAUCACGCAGAACUCCGAUUGCGAAGGCAGCAUACCGGCGCUCAACUGACGCUCAUGCACGAAAGUGUGGGUAUCGAACAGGAUUAGAUACCCGAGUAGUC
rnacentral:rRNA from 1 species